UACAGAGGUCUCAAGCGUUGUUCGGAUUCAUUGGGCGUAAAGGGUGCGUAGGUGGCGCUUUAAGUCGGGUGUGAAAUUUCGGAGCUUAACUCCGAAACUGCAUUCGAUACUGCGGUGCUUGAGGACUGGAGAGGAGACUGGAAUUCAUGGUGUAGCAGUGAAAUGCGUAGAGAUCAUGAGGAAGACCAGUGGCGAAGGCGGGUCUCUGGACAGUUCCUGACACUGAGGCACGAAAGCCAGGGGAGCAAACGGG
rnacentral:rRNA from 1 species